UAAAAAUCAAUUUAAAAUCAAGAAUGGAAUCAACAUUCUUUAAUAAAUGGUAUUUUUGAUGGGUUUGGUGGAAUUAUUUUUGAAGACGCAUUAAAAUGUUGUAAAAUAUAAUACUAUUGGUGAGGAACAAAAAUUAUGCUUAAAAAAAUCCCAGAUUUUAUCAAAUCUAAUGCUCAGUACUUUGAGGCCAUACUCACUUUUACUGAGAGAGUUUCAUCCCAUUGAAAUCACUGUAUUGCAAUAUUUAAUUUCCCAUUACAAUUUUCCACACUGGACCUUUGAAAUUUACACAAACAGACUCUCUUAUGUGCCAUAAUGUAACUGACCAUCUAACCAAACUGGGUUAAAACCAACCAUACUGGAUAGUGUAAAAUGUGAGAGAAAGAAUAGUAGUUUUCAGAUUUUUUCAAAGUAACUCUGAUAAAAAGAAUAAUAAUAAAAAAAAGCACAAAUGAGAUUAAUCCAAUGCAACACAUUGACUUAUUUCAGGAAGCAAUUUAGCACACAGUCCCAAACGGUAUGUGCAGGCUCAGACUAAAUGAAUCAUCUUACAGCUCAAUGACAGUAUUCUGUGUGAACAAAAGCACUGGUCUACAAUGAAUCACUCUACCGCAGUUGUUUUUUUAUCCUUUAGGAUGGAGAACAUCGGACCGAUCCAGAGAUUAAUGUUCCAUAACGUCGUUGACUCCAAGAUCCUAAUUUCACAUCACUUGAAUGGAGUGGAAAAUGAGUUUCAGUGACAUUGCCCAAUCACUUAAAACUAGAAAGAAGGGGACUGGACAAGGUUCAGCAGAGAGUCUGCAUCAUUUUCCUUCACAUCAAACUUCACAGCAAAAAAGUAAAAAAAAAAAAAAAGUUCAGAUUCCGUCUUCGUGUUGACCCCUUGAAUGCGUCUCCAAAGGAAAUGUCAAGAUGAAUGACAUAAGAGUGGACAUGGCUCAAUACUCCACACACCUCAGAGGAAGGGGCUUCAUUGUAUGACGUCAAAAACUCACGCUAAUAUUAACACACCAAGGCUGCUAUUGAUUCUGCCUCUGUGUAACGUGACUUACGAGAAAGGAGAGACUCCCCUGCUGACCGCAACAAUUGUAAAACCAAAGUCCAAACCAGAGCAUCACACCUCAAUUUCAAUCUUCACAACAAACAGGUUUCUGGUCUAAGAAGAGAACAGGAUAAAGUGGUUAAAGGAACACGAUGAACUAAAGAAACAAGUACCUCUUAAUGGGAAUGAAAGAAAAAAAUAAAACCAUCAUAAAUAGUUUUUAACCCAUUUCCUUUAACUUGCAAGCCGAAAAAACGCUACUUAAAAAAGAAGCAUUCAACACAAUCAUAUUUAGAAUAAAGAAAAGGAAAGAAAAUAUUCUGUCAGAAGAGCAUGUAGAUGAAAAGAAAUAAAGACCAGCAUAAACUGCCACCUCUGACUCAUGGGAUUCUUUCCCUUUGUCCUCUCUCUGAACAUGAGGUCAUACCAACUAUACUUACAAUUUCUUUAAAUAUUCAACUUUAAAUUGACUCAAAAAACAAUAUUAAUAAUAGCAAUAACAAUUAAAUCUUUUGUUAGAAGUAUAAUAAUAAAAAAAAAAAAAAAGUAAUCACGGUCCUUCACAAAGAAAGGGAGAGGUUGAAAUCAGGACAGAUAAAAGAAAUCAUCAAGGGAAAAAGACAAAAUAGCACUCUUGGUCAUUACAGUAUGAAAAUGCCAUCUAACCCAAAGACAAAAUUAUUUUUAGGGGAAAACUAGUCUAGUUGAAAGGUAUGAGCUGAACUUUCAGGAUGGAUCUUGGUCUGGGAGCUGGUCUUGAUCAUGGACGCACUCCUUUGGCUCAAAGUGGCGUUCAAUCUAGGUGGCAAGACUGAACAAGAUCCAUGUGUGAAAUAUGACAAACUGAAAAAAAAAAUAAAAAAAAAAGAAAAGGGCAAAAAUUAAAAAUGUAUCACAAUGUGACAUGCGAGUUUUCUUAGCCUUUUCUAACUUUAUCAGUUUCUUUUGAGUGUUGACAAACUUCCUUCUCUUGCUUGGCUCACUGUUGAGAUCUGUGGCAUAUUUGGGUGCUUAUUUCUUCUUGCCAAAGAAACUGAAGCGUUUCUCGCGGUCUCUCUCUUUGCCAUCUUUGUUGCGCAUGGUUACACCUCCUGCAUCGCCCGAGCUGGGAGACAUAGGUGGCAUGGUCAUUGCUCGACUCAGACCUCGCGUGCCACCCGGUGAACGCUCGGUGGACGACAAGGUCGACUGGAUUGCUUGAAUCCAUGAACUCAUCUCAGCCUGACGGAGAGAAUAUUUGCAUCACAAUAUGACUAGAACACUUCUUUUAAAACUUAAUAUAAGAGAAUGACCUAGAAACAUCCUUUGCAAAACAUACCUCAUCCUUUGCUUGGAACAAGAACUCUUUUCCAUCCCCAAGCCUUUAACAAAAUAAAGCAGUAUGUCACAUACUAAGAACUUCAUUCAUUUUCUUGGGUAUUUGCAGUUUCAUGAAUACUGAUAAAAUCUGAAUACUGAUCAUUUCUACUAUCUCUCUCUCACCUAAGUUUAAAUACGUGUUUUCUUUUCUUGUAGUCAUGGGCGACCUCACAGACAGCCUCGCUAAGGCUGAUGGGAACUUCUCCAUGGUAGGGGAUUCCAUUCGAGGCACUCUUGUUGUCCUUAUAGAAGCCCAGACUGCCUUUACGUAAUAUGCAAUAUACAUUCUGCCACGAUCUAUAAAAGCAUAAAGACAAAAACACACAAUUUACACAAUUAACCUGAUUAGGUUCUCUCAGUCAUUCUUUUUAAAAUUUAUCUGCUUCCUGUGUCACCUGGUGGCUGCUUUUUUGUUGUGCGAUUCCAUUUCCUGUUUCCUGCAAAGGAUGCCCUCCAUAGUUUCUGUGGCCGCCUCUGCUCCUCCUCGUCCUGGCAGUGUAGCUGAAGGGUCUUGCCGUGAUGCUGAGUCUAGACCGCUGUCACGGCCCGGACCGUUUACAGACUCUGAUUCUGAUCCCUGGUUGACCAAAACAUGCUGCAGUUAGGAGACGUCACAAUAAUGCAUUGUUUCUAUUAACUCAAAUAUUGAUUAGGUUACUAUUGUACUGGUCUACACUAUUGUUAUUCAUUAAAGCAUUUUUAUGUUCACUGUUAUUUUCAAAGUUUGGGGUUGGUAAGAUUUUUUUGAUGCUUUUGAAAGAAGCCUCUUAUGCUCAUCAAUGCUGCAUUUAUUUAAUCAAAACUACAAUGAAAUUGUGAAAUAUUAUAAGAAUUUAAAAUAUUUCUAUUUGAACAUAUAUUUUAAAAAUCAUAUUUUAAAGCGUAAUUGGCAGCAAUUGUUCAGUUUUAAUUUCAGUCUUAUCUGAUUUGGUGUUCAAGAAUGAUUCUUUUUUUUUGUUAUUAUUAAUGUUGAAAACGGAUGAAUAUGAGGUUCAAAAGAACAGCAUUCAUUUGAAAUACAAAUCUUUAACAAAGUGAAAGUAUUUACUGUAACUUUUAAUCAAUUUAAUGAAUAAAAGAAUAAACAUUAAUUUCUUUAAAAAAAAUCUUACUAACCCAAUAUAAUACAUGUUCUAUUUCAAUAUUCUCACAAGUUAACUUAUAAUGCCUAUUUUUUCUGUAACUACUUUUGAAGUAUAAUUCCUAAUCACAAACAAAUAUUUCUUGCUGAUAUUUUAAUCAAAUAUUAAUAAACAGAUCUGAAUCAAAAUAUUCAAACUUAA
rnacentral:lncRNA from 1 species